AUUGAACGCUAGCGGGAUGCCUUACACAUGCAAGUCGAACGGAGUGGCGAACGGGUGAGUAAUGUAUCGGCACGUGCCCAGUAGCGGGGGAUAACUACGCGAAAGCGUAGCUAAUACCGCAUACUAUUGGAGCGGCCGAUAACGGAUUAGCAAGUGGGUGGGGUAACUGCUAACCAGGGCGAGGAUCCGUAGCUGGUUUGAGAGGACAACCAGCAACACUGGGAAGUGGACACGGCCCGAACUCCUACGGGGGGCAGCAGUGGGGAAUUUUGGACAUUGGGGGAAACCCGGAGCCAGCCCUCCCGGGUGUGCAAUGAAGGCCUUCGGGUUGUAAAGCACUUUUGGCAGGAAAGCGGUACCUGCAGAAUAAGCACCGGCUAACUACGUGCCAGCAGCCGCGGUAAUUC
rnacentral:rRNA from 1 species